rnacentral:rRNA from 1 species
AGCGAACGCUGGCGGCAGGCCUAACACAUGCAAGUCGAACGAACUCUUCGGAGUUAGUGGCGGACGGGUGAGUAACACGUGGGAACGUGCCUUUAGGUUCGGAAUAACUCAGGGAAACUUGUGCUAAUACCGAAUGUGCCCUUCGGGGGAAAGAUUUAUCGCACUUAGAGCGGCCCGCGUCUGAUUAGCUAGUUGGUGAGGUAAAGGCUCACCAAGGCGACGAUCAGUAGCUGGUCUGAGAGGAUGAUCAGCCACAUUGGGACUGCGACACGGCCCAAACUCCUACGGGAGGCAGCAGUGGGGAAUCUUGCGCAAUGGGCGAAAGCCUGACGAAGCCAUGCCGCGUGAAUGAUGAAGGUCUUAGGAUUGUAAAAUUCUUUCACCGGGGACGAUAAUGACGGUACCCGGAGAAGAAGCCCCGGCUAACUUCGUGCCAGCCGCCGCAGUAA